rnacentral:tRNA from 6 species
GGAGGAUUCGCAUAGUGGCCUAGUGCGCCCGCCUGCUAAGCGGGUUUCGGGUGAUACCCGAUCAUGGGUUCAAAUCCCAUAUCCUCCGCCA